GCGAGCGUGUAUGGCGGCGGCGACAGGGGCGGAGGCGGGAACCUGCCUUCACUUCCGGUUCCAGGCUCCUCUUUCCCCGCCCCCACCCUCCCGCCUUCCCGGCGGCCAGGGCGCAGGCGCGGGACGCCGGAAGCAGGCCCCGCGAAGGACCCCCCCCGCCGUGGCGCGCGCUCCGGGGCUGCCUUUGGAAAAUGCCUCUUUGAAAUUCACACCCCCCCCGCCGGACGCCGCCGCGGCCGCCAGGGACGGAAGCGCGGCGCGAAGCCCGCGCCUCUCCCCGAAAUCCUCCCCCUCCUGAUUUUCUACGCUUCUCCACAGCCUUCCCCUCGGCGUUCGGCUUUGCUUUUGUUGUGUGUGUUGUGUUGUUUUGUUUGUGCCACGCCAGGCUUCUCCCUGGCCACCUCUCUCUGGGCAUCCUGGACUCCGCGGGCCGCGCGGGAAGCGUUUCUCACGGGGUCCUCAGCCUGGUAGUCAAGGUGACCCGGGGGCGGCUGGGCUCGGUCAGGCCUCCGCCGGGGAGGGUGCUGGGGCGGGGGUCGGGGCAUGGUCACGCCCGUGACAGUUGUUUCACCCAAAACGACAUUGGCAGCGUCGCAGCUUGGGAGGUGGAGGUUUGCAUUCUGUCCAAGCGCUAAAAAAUAAACGGCGGGGCUCGAGGGCUAUGCAGCCCUCCGCAGUUGUGUUAAUGAGAGCAGAAUGCUCUCAGUCCCGCCACAACAGCGCCAUGGUUCGGCCUGGAUACCCCCCCCCCCCAAAUAUGUGGUGCUCCCUCCUCGGGGAUGCUGCACACAUCAGAAGCGAUGUCCUGCGGCGCCGCUGCAUCAUAAAUAUAAGUGCGAGCUUCCGCUGUCAGCACGCGUCACCACUCAGUGGGUUCCGUUGUCACCAACCAGCUGGCUGCGUCCCGGCCAACCCCAAAGCUCCCCGGAUCCCUCUGCACCUGACGGCGGAGGGAGGCGCCCUCUAGUGUCGGCACUCACAGACGCCGCCGCUUUCGUGUUAGCCUAGGAGUUAAGUGGGGACCCUUCACCCCGGUAAAGCCGGAAGUGCUGCAGUCCCAGAGAGCGAAGAACUGGGGUUUCCGGCUCAGAAGACAGUCCCCAGGAACUCUUCUAGUGACCUAGACGGCAGGCUCUCAGCCACUUCUUUCUUCCUGUUGCUCAGCCUAAAAGGCCAGAGAAGACCUCUCAAGGGGAGACUUUUAUUGGACUUAUCCCAGCUGACCCAUCAACUUCCCAGGACAGCCUUUGGCAGUGUUCUGAGGCAGGUGAAUGAAAAUGAGAAACGGCGCAGCAAAAAGAAUCUGCUUCCAUCACCAGCUGACCCGUCGUGGGCAUUUUAUUGACACUGUGCUGUUACUCAGGGAAGCGAGGUGUUGAGGAAAGGAAUCCAUGAAUGCCGAUGCCACGGCGUCACUUCGGCUCUGGGAGCUGUAAGCUUUGGGAAACAGCAAAGAGGGAGAGCCAGCAAAGGGACAGAGCAGCUCACCAGGAACAGAGAGAGAGGCUAGAGGUCCAUACUCGGGACUCUGAGAGAGGGAGGGAGGGGCUAAAUGACAUUAUCAUUUCAACUUUUCAGGGGUCAUGAUGUGCCUUCGGAGAACAGGAAAAACAAACUCUUUAGAGGAUCACUAGAGUCACAAUGACUGGGCAUUAUAGAGUGCCGCGAAUAAAAGCCAGGAGACAGAGUAUUAGGGUUCCGGCAGGCAAGCGGGGUGGCCAUACUAUGGGCUUGCUAUUUAUCAAGUCACAGCUACACCCACCUGAAC